AGCAUAAUGAGAGCGCUGACAUUUUUAUUUUCGUGUGUUCGUUUUUUUCUUACAUUUCCAUAUGAUGAU
rnacentral:tRNA from 1 species